AUUAUUAGUGGUGCGGGCGUAUUUUUGUAUUUUCGAUACAAAAGAAGAGACUUUCUUGCUGUCUUUUUGAAGAUCACCCAUAAUGGAAAACUAAUAAAUCAGAACAAAUUUUUGUACUGACGAUUUUUUUAAGAUUUUGUGCAGCAAAAACAACGGUACUAAUGAUCGGAGUAUUUUUUUACAGUCUACAGCGGACAAGAAACCUGCCAAAGGGAUUGCUAGAGCAAAACAUUGUGAAGUGCUUACGGCCCGAGCAUCAACGAGCUUAGAGAAUUGGCUGAGCAAUUAUCGAAGAAAUUGCGGUCGACUACCCAGAAAAAUGGUAUAAAAAUCAAACGGCGGGUCGUCAUUUACAAAAUAUCCUGAGCCGGCACUCCGAAAAAGCGUUGAUGGAAGGCCAAAUCAAGGAAACCAGCUUAGCUCACUAAAGAAGUCCAUCCGAAUCAUCGUCUAAGAGCCGUGGUGCUUAUCUUUUAUGUUUCUUCAUUUUAUAAAUUCUUGAUAACAGUUGUAUAUUUAAAGGAAUCAAUAUACCGAACACCUUUUUCUUUUAACUCGUU